GCGCGGCGGCGCGGUGGCGCGGCGGCGUAGCGAGGCAGUGGGGUCCUGGCGGGUCAGAGACCCUCGCUGGGAAGCACCGAGGUGCGAGAGUCGCCCGGCGUGCUUGGCUGCGGCGGGACCGAAGUGGACGUUUCUGUGCCCUCUUGGGCCCACAGCUCUGUCGGGGAGACAGUGAACAGGCCCGGAGAAAUGAGCCAACACCGUUCCAGAGAGCAGUAGGAGCUGAGAAGGGAAAUAAAAAAGGGUAAUGGUCCAAAACCUGCCUGGACAUGGGCAGCUCCGGAGGGCACCCAUAAGGAAACGAUCUUUGAGCUGAGACCUGGACCAUGGCUGGGAGACGGGCCCGAGAAGAUGCGCAGGAAGGGUGUUCCAGAACAGCGAGUGCAAACGCUCUGCCUCAGGGCUUGACUGGAGCCAGAAGUUGGGUGAGAGAGAGGAGUUGAUUGAUCCACAGUUGAAACACUGAAAUGAGGAACAGGUCCCACAGGGAAAUGGAGCCAGAAUUCCAGCCCAGUCCUGUGUGACCCACAGCUCCAUGGUCUUCCUACUACACUGCCUCUCAACACAAAACCUCCGGCCCCCAGGAAUUUAUCUUUUGGAUUCAGCAGAAGUCAAGAGCUCUUUGGAGAAGGCUGUAGGGCAGCAUUAUUUAUGACAGUGAAAGAGUGGAAAGCACCAAAGCCCAACUGCAGAAGAAUAGCUGAGCAAAUCAUGGCCCAUUUCACAAGGAAUCUCUUGCAGUAGUUGAAAAUGCUAAUUAUAAAGAUGGAAACAUGGGGAAAGGCCAAUGAAAAUGAGUUAACUAAAAAAAAGCCCCAUACAAAAUGGUCUGUAUGCCAUGAUUACAAUCGUGUCAAAGUAUGACCAUGUGUAGGGACUAAGAGAAUGGAGAGAUGAAAAUACUUGUGUGUUUGGUUGGUGGGGCUGUCUUUGCCAUUUUCCCAAAUUAUACUCUAUAUUUGUUGUGAAUUUGUAAUUUUGAAGAGUCUAUGUGCCUAAAUCCACCCCCUCAACUCCCCCACCCCCAAAAGUCUAGUUUGGUUCCUCCUGCCUCUGUAACCCUUGGUGAGGCAUCACAUACCUGCUUCAUGGAGUUGUCACCAGGAUAACAUGUUCUACCUUCUCAUAGCGCCCUGUACCUUUCCUUCAUGGCACUUGAGGCAGAUUAAGUAGUGACAUCAGAGCUUAUGCUUUACCUAUUCUAUCCCAAACCACCCCAUUGAAACGUUGUAAUUCCUUUUUUCAGAGAUUUUCACCUGGUCCUCAAAGACCAAGAAUUAAGAGCCUAAAGUCUACAGCUCUUGUCAGCCUUGAAAAACUAAACUCAUUGAGGAGAUGUUGGGGGGUUGGGGAGGAAGAGGGCCUGUGAGAAGCUAGGAGCAGUAUUCCAUAUACCGUUCCUGCAACAGCUGUAGAACAGGAAAAGAGUGUGUGCCUGCUCUCAGACUACAAUUCAAGCGGAUUAAUAAAAAUCAUUACAGCAAU